AAACGGGGAAAGGAAGAGAGACACGUCACUCACUGCAAGCUGAAAUGCAGAGGGGUGGUGAGGAAGAGAGGGAGGCACAGAUUUGGAAGCCUCGUAACAGAAGGACUCUCCUCAAGACCACAGUAUUUUCCAGUGCAACCCUGCAGCAGAUCUGAAAACACAUUUGCAAUGGGCUUGGGAUCUGGUUCCUACAUCCUACAGAUCACUCUGCAAACUUUUGCUGCUUGCUAGUGACUACCCAUUUGCCUUCUACAAUUCAACCUAAGAGAAGGAGGAUUGCUCAGUUUCUGUAAUAGGGGGAGGUCAAGAUCCUACAAAAAGCCAUGGGGAUGACUCUUCUCCUUUUCCUCUUCUUCAUAUUCUUGCCCUGCACUGAAUCCCAGGAGGACUUUCUGGGCCAUCAUCAGAAGUGGGACUACAGAGAAGGUGCUGACAAGGUCAACAUAGAAGGCAUUAACAGCAUUACUCAAACCCUUGAGAAAUGGGGAAAUAGCAUCUUCUGGCAAAUGAAGCACACACUGCUGAACAACCCAAGCACUUUACUGCCUGAGUUCUCCAGCCUGCGCCCUGUCUCUGCAGCUGUGGACAAUCUUGUGAGGGAAGUCCAGUCAAUAAGGAAAAGGCUAGAAGAACUGAAUGAACGUCUCAAUGUCAUCAACAGAACUGUCCUCCCCAUCCGACUGAAUGCUCUACAGAGCCAGAGGCGUGGAAAUACUCAGCUACGGAGGCUUCCAGUGCAUAGGAGGAGGCUGUAUGCUCGCAGGAGACCUCAGAGGAGUUAAUUCUCUACCAAAAGAACAAAAAAAGGGGGGAAUAUUUGGUUGUUUUUUUUUUCAUCUGCUCAAGCUUUUCUCAAUGGGACACUGCUAGAGAGAAUAAAGUAGAGCUCAUACAAGUUAGCUUUGCUAAGAAGAUCACAACUUCUGCAUUUUGUUUUUGCCUUUCAGACCUAGGUCUGUAGGUGAAAUCUGCCCCGGUUCUUUAAUGAUGGCUGUUCUGCCAAGCUCAGUUUGCUUGACUGUGAAUACCUUUAGGCUACACAGUCAUUCUCUCUGCUUACCUGAAGGCGCUCUUUCUACAAAGAUCAGGUGCAUAUCUCUCUCUGCCCUAUUUUUACAGCACUCCAUCUGAAACAGCUAGGGAUUUGGAUCUUCAAAAGUGCUGAAUGCCUGAUGAAUGCAGAAAGAGAGAUUAGUACUUGACACUUCCAGCUAGGCAGAGACAGUGAGAGAAAGCUGUGUUUUAAAAUACAGCUUUAACCUAUUUUCCCUCACUGCAAAGAAUGCCCUGUUUGCAUGUCCAGAGGGUGGGUGGAGUUGGAUAGCUUUGGUCUGUGCCUCGUCUUGCAAGGUUGAAGUUAUGUCAGAUUCUAGGGGCCAAAUCUGAAUAUUCAUCUUCUAGGAAAAAAAAAAAAGGUGUGGGGGGAAAGUAUUUUUUUAGCUACCUGGAACUGGACACUCAGAACUGUGUUAUUCAACUGACACCUUCAGAAUGCCCAGAUGCUCUGAAAGACACUUGGAAACCAAAGGAUGCUUUUUCAAAACUGCUGAGAUAUCUAAUGGCACAGAGAAGUGUCUAGAAGGCUUUUCCAGAAUGGCUUCAGAAACAGUGCAGUUCCCAAACCCACAGACAGUAAUUCAGUUCAUAGAAUCAUAGAAUCAACCAGGUUGGAAGAGACCUCC